UACGUAGGGUGCAAGCGUUGUCCGGAAUUAUUGGGCGUAAAGAGCUCGUAGGCGGUUUGUCGCGUCUGCUGUGAAAACUGGGGGCUCAACCCCCAGCCUGCAGUGGGUACGGGCAGACUAGAGUGCGGUAGGGGAGAUUGGAAUUCCUGGUGUAGCGGUGGAAUGCGCAGAUAUCAGGAGGAACACCAAUGGCGAAGGCAGAUCUCUGGGCCGUAACUGACGCUGAGACGCGAAAGCGUGGGGAGCGAACCGG
rnacentral:rRNA from 1 species